rnacentral:lncRNA from 1 species
ACAACGACCACAAUGCAAUUAGCAGUAACCGCAAUGACAACAAUCGCAAAACUCAAAAACUACAAUUUAAAACUAUGACAACGCAUACUUGUAAGAUUAUUAAGAAACUGGCCUAACAGUUCAUUUUAAAUGGAUUUAACAAGUGUAAUUUUUAUAUUAGUGAUCUUGUAUAUAAAAAUAUUAAUCUAAAAGCAACAUAUUUUAAAAAUCUCAAAAGCUUAAAAAAAUUAUUACAACUCUUAUAUAAAAAGAAAAAGUAUUAAAAAAAC